rnacentral:rRNA from 1 species
GAUGAACGCUGGCGGCGUGCUUAACACAUGCAAGUCGAACGGAAAGGCGCUGCUUGCAGGCUACUCGCGUUGCCAACGGGUGGGUAACACGUGGGUGGUCUGCCCUCCACUUCGGCUUGGGCUUGUGCGACUGGGUCUAGUACCUACUAGGUACUAUCUUUAACGUGGUGGUUGGAUAGUUUUUUCGGUGUAGGCUGAGCUCGCGGGCUAUCAGCUUGUUGGGGGGGUAAUGGGCUACCAAAGCGGCUACGCGUGGCCGGACUGAGUGGGUGUACGGCGACAUUGGGACUUAGAGACGGCCGAGACACCUAAGGGAGGCAGCAGUGGGGAAUAUUGCACAAUGGGCGCAAGCCUGAUGCAGCGACGCCGCGUGGGGGAUGAAGGCCUUAGGGUUGUAAAACACUUGCGCUAGGGACGAAGCAUUUUGUGACGGUACCUAGAGAAGAAGCACCGGCUAACUACGUG